GAGAGGUGGGUGAGUGGCUGAAACCAGUUCCCUGCUAAGGAACCAUACGCAUAUACGCGUAUCGAGGGUUCGAAUCCCUCCCUCUCC
rnacentral:tRNA from 1 species